rnacentral:tRNA from 1 species
UGCCCGGUCGUCUAGAGGCAGGACUCCGGUUUCUGGUACCGGCAACGGUGGUUCGAAUCCAUCCCGGGCAG